rnacentral:rRNA from 1 species
AACGAACGCUGGCGGCAUGCCUAACACAUGCAAGUCGAACGAGACCUUCGGGUCUAGUGGCGCACGGGUGCGUAACGCGUGGGAACCUGCCUUUAGGUUCGGAAUAACGCCUCGAAAGGGGUGCUAAUACCGGAUAACGUCUUCGGACCAAAGAUUUAUCGCCUUUAGAUGGGCCCGCGUUGGAUUAGCUAGUUGGUGGG